CAGCAUCGGCGGAGAAGAAAAGAGUUGACGUUUCGAGUCCUCGUGACCCUUCGACAGAAUUACAGGCUUUGAUCCCUGUUCCAGACAAGGUAGACUCAGGAUCUGCCUCCUCGCCCUACCCAUUGUUUAAAAAAAAACCACAGUACCCAGCCAUGGUUUGGCAGAUAAUUCUCAAGAAGCUGCCUUCACGCAGAGAACCAGAGAAGAAGGAAAAUAAAAAAGAUUGUUUGCAAUUUGAAAAAUAACUGCACCAGGGCUGCUAAAUUCAGCUGUGUGGUGAGACCGGCUUUGCAUCAUGGGAGAAGAAAAAAAAAUGGCAGAGGAUCUGCUUCUGACAGGAACUGAACGCCGGUGGCAUGGGUGUCACCUACGUGCCCCAAAACAUCAUGUUGCUCAGCGCCAAACAUUAAUUUGGUGCACAUCCUGCCAUUUUGGAUCCCAGAGGUCCUGUGAGCAUCCUCUCUUGAAGAGCCUCGGCAACAUGUGUCCAGCUGCAAGAGGGACACCUUCGCUCGGGCUAUUUUAAAGGGAUCACCAUUCCACUUUCAGUCAAGACCAGUGAAUGAGUCCUGGACUUCGUUUAAAGGCACCGUGAAACAGCAGCCAUCUACUUAAAUACAACAGUAGAAAAUCGUGGGAUGUCUGGCUUUCAUCAGAGAGAUACAAAUGCCAGAAGCAGAAGCAAAAAUACUUUGUUUGUAAAAAUGUCUUCAACUUGUUAAUAUCAUUGUAAUUGUUAUAACAUAUCUAUUUCCAGUGUGAGAGGUCCUUUUCCGCAUUAAGAGCUAUGUCAUUUCUGUUGCAUUAAGGGCUUUUUCAAAAGGGUCAGGUGUGUCGGCCAUCAAGCACAGGCUCUACAAUCUGUGAAACUUUUGAUCUGACAUAAAUUUUAAGAGGUCACAUUGGUUGAUUGCAGGCACAAUUGAUGACAAGCACCAUAUUAUGCAAUUUCCAAAACCCAUUUGUAUCUGCAAAGUACAGCUCAGCUUAAAUUGUUUGCCUGCUAGCACCAUAGGGUCUGUACAUUUGCCAAUUAUUAUGUUUAAUGAAUUGCAAAAACAUGUCUGUGGUUAAGUCUUCAAAGUGGUUCAAUCAUCCAAAGGCACAACAUGAUUUCUUUAUAAGCAACUGAUUCAUUGAUAAAUAUUCAUGACUACUGUUGUAGGGAUUAUUAAUCAAAUAGCAAUUGUACCCACAAUUAUAACUGUAAAAAUGACAAAUGGUUAUAAUUGCACUUACUUCCAACAUACAUGCUGAGUACUAAAUAAUACCAGGUGAAUGCAAUAUGAAUGUAAUUUUACAACAUCUUACCCAGUGCAACUAGAUCAGAAAUUAAAUUAAAAAAAGCCUCCAGUUAUACAGGUUGUUUGAUUAUCUGUCCAUCUGCUCUAGAAUUUUUUAAACCAAAAGAGCAGGUCAAUUGAUCCAAAUAAAAUGGAAACUAUAGCGAGAUAACACUACAACAUGCAAAACAACCAAAGAUCUACUUGUGUUGCACAAUGAAUUCUUUGUAACUUUUAAUGAUAAGUUAACUUCCUUUAUCAGUGCUCAGCUUGCAUGUACUUGUGUAUCAGUACAGAACACAGAUGUGUAGCUCCAGAUGAAUGAGAAGCUGAGUGGCCUGGGACCAAAUGAUGUAGAUAAUUAAACGAGGCCGUGCUUCAGUCCCUAGCUUUUGUUCAGAUGAUCUCACCUUUUCUCGUAGUGCGGGAUCUUAAAUUGACUUCAACACACCAGGCCGGAAAAGUGGAGGAAUCAGCCAAGCUCUGUUUCUGAUUCAGAUUACAGCCGGACAGGACAUGGACAAGGACUAUGCCAAUGUUUCCUAAUGGGGAGAUAGCAUGCUAAUAUUCACUGUCACAGCCCACAAGAAGGGCUUCUUAGGAAAGAGAGUGAAUACCUUCCACCGUCCAUAAAGCCAAAGUACAAUCAGAGUCAAUGGGGAAAGAUUUUGCCUUCACGAAAUUUAGCUGUAAUUUGGUGAGCAGAUCCCCUGUCCAUUGAUUUAUAUAGAACAAAAAAACUGUGGUUUUCCAACAGGUCGAAGCUCCCUCCGCUCUAACAGGUUAAUGCCCCGGGGUCAAAGUUAAAAAUGAUUCCCAGUGUUUUCAUGAGAUGACAUGAGAAAAUAGUGCCAAAGUGCACGCAGUCAGGUUUAUGUUCAACUCAGUUCAGACAAGCAUUCUUGCAACUUUUUCUUCUACUUAUUACACUUGGGUAUCUUGCAGUUAAUUAUCAGUUGCCUGAUUUCACUGGUUUGACAGCAUAAAACCAAUUCUCCUCACUGAAACUCUACAGAUGAAAAGAAACUCCGUUCAUGACAGAGACCAAGAAUGUUGAGCACAAACACAGGGCAGACUGGGGGGAAAAUAAAAAUUAAUUGAAUAGACAUACAUGGUCAGCCUUAGAAACCCAGGUUAUAUUAAACCUAAAUGUUACAGAUCAAGUUGAGAGAAUCUCAAUCAAUUUGGGAGUAUUUCAGUAUUGGCUAGUGUAUUUGUCUGCAGGUGAAGAGAAAGCCAUAAAGCCAAUGGUGUGUUGCAAGUGCUAAGGAAUUUGGUUGUUACAAUUAGACAUCUCUGUGGGAAACCCGAGCCCCAUUGUGUUUUGGCUUGUAAUGUGCAAUGAACUGUUUUGUAUCAUUUGUGACACAUACCAUGUCUUUGUUGAAGAAAGCUGUAAAAAAUAAUAAACAACAUGAAAUCCUUGGAGUAGGAUGUCAAUUCAA